CAUAUUAAUAGAUAUUCCAUUUGUAUAUUGUCAUAUUAUGGCUGACAGUUUCUACCCAAGACCGUUAUUCUUGGACUACGAAUGCGUUGAUAAAAGUU
rnacentral:ncRNA from 2 species